GCGGAUGUAGCUCAGUCGGUUAGAGCGUCUGAUUGUGGUCCAGAAGGUCGUGGGUUCAAUUCCCAUCAUUCGCCCCA
rnacentral:tRNA from 1 species